UAAAAUCGUUUCGGUCGUAUAAACGCCACGAGUUUCUGCUUCGACACGGGCAAGAAGUUCCAAAACCCUCCACUGCCGAUCGCCGCUACUCGCUUUCUGGCGCGUUUGCUUCCACGCCGCAGCGAACCUCCUCAAGGUCGCGAUCUUUGGCGGCGCCGGCCUCUGCAACGGCGAAGGUGGCCACCGCGCCAUCGGCUUCAAUCGCAUCUACGGCAUCAAGGACAAGGUCUCGAAGUCUUCCCGAAUGAUCUAAUUAGUCGACUAAUAGGGCGAUCGUGUGGUUUCCUCGUUAGUUUGGUGUGGGGGGUGCCCUUUGAGGCUACCAAGUUCGAUUCGGGUGUGGCGAUUGUGUUUCGGGGAUCUUUCCUGUUUCAUCGAAGGGAGUGCUAUCUGAAUGCGGUUUUGAUGGUUUUAGUUCUGGUUAUCGUAGGUAAGGUGGAGCUUCGUCGUGCAGGUUUGUCCCGAAGGAACGCAUCUGAUGGUACCGUGGUUGGAGAGGCCAAUCAUAUACGAUGUUCGCGCAUGGCCUCAGCUCGUGGAGAGUACUUCAGGGAGCCGUGAUCUGCAAAUGGUAAAAAUUGGGCUUCGUGUUCUGACAUGGCCAUUUGCGGACUGCUUGGCUACAAUAUACCUUUCUCUUGGGGAGAAUUACAAUGAGACAGUUUUGUCAUCUAUUAUUCAUUAGACACUGAAAUCUGUGGUGGCACAAUGCAAUGCCAGCCAGCUGAUCACACAAAGGGAGCAUUUGCAGGCUGUCACUGUAUGAUGUCUCAAUUGCAUCCUUGAGCUUUGGUAGGGACAGAAGCAAAACAGGUGGCAGCACAGGAGGCUGAGCAGGCAAAGUUCAUUGUGGAGAAGGCAGAGCAAGAUAAGAAAUGUGCUAUCAUAAGAGCACAGGUGAGAUAGAGUCAUAAUUUACAUAAUUCUUUCAAUGAACUAGGAAUUCUUUUGUAAUACUAUUCUUUUUGCAGUAAUUAGCAUAUUGCUCUGAGAAACUAAAUUAAUUAACACCAAGUCUCUUAUGGCUUUAGUUGUUUACUCAUAACAACCUGUAGGUGAGAUUGGUCACAUGCCCCUAAAUUGUAGUUCUCUAUCAAUCAACUAACAUAUUGCAAUAUUGCUUGUAUGAUUCUACAUCUUUUCUGGCUAAAGAGCAACCUGUAGAUGAGAUGGUCAGGGGCCCCUAGAUUGUAUAUUUAUUUCAAUGAAUUGGGU